rnacentral:misc_RNA from 1 species
GCUACUACCGAUUGAAUGGUUUAGUGAGGACUCCUGAUUGGCGCCGCCGCCCCGGCAACGGAGCAGCGUACUGCCGAAAAGUUGUUCAAACUUGAUCAUUUAGAGGAAGUAAAAGUCGUAACAAGGUUUCCGUAGGUGAACCUGCAGAAGGAUCAAUAUCGUAAGAGCGUCCUGUAUGUUAUGAUUUUAUAUCUCUUUUUUCGCUUUUUCUUUACAUCAUUAUUCAUUUUUUUUUUCCUCCUUUUCUCUUUUUUUCUUUUUUUCUUUUUCUUUUUUU